UAAUAAAGUUGAACCAGAGAGAAAGG
rnacentral:piRNA from 1 species